rnacentral:lncRNA from 1 species
GUGCAGCCCAAAUCAAAUAGCCCAAAGAGUGAAACUCAAUUGGGAAGUCCAGGAUAAAGGUCCAAAUAGGAUUGUUGAGGAAUGCGAUGGAAGCCCACGAACAUGGUAACAUCAUCGCCCAAACUUGCAAGACGCCCAGAAUCUGAGCGAAUGGAGUACUUUACGGUCGCCCAGAGCGAUGACCCCGUUCUCGCCCAAACUUUUGAAUCGCCCAGGAUCUUAGCAAGUAUAAAACAUUAUGGUUAUCCAGAAUAGCAGUUGUUGAAGCAGUUAUUGAGUGAUCUUAUCACAUUCCACGAUUCAAGGAGCCUAGUUGAAGGCGGUUGAACGACAAAGAGUAAUGGCAAUAGUUAAAGACGGCAGUUCCACAACAAGUUAGCCACCAUAAAGAAAGUUGGUAGUUAUACAGCAAUCAAGCAGUUUUCAAGCGGUUUGCCACGAAGAAAUAAUCAAGGGAAUAUAAA